GACGAACGCUGGCGGCGUGCCUAAUACAUGCAAGUAGAACGCUGAGGACUGGUGCUUGCACUGGUCUAAGGAGUUGCGAACGGGUGAGUAACGCGUAGGUAACCUACCUCAUAGCGGGGGGAUAACUAUUGGAAACGACUGCUAAUACCGCAUAAGCCCACGACCCGGCAUCGGGUUGAGGGAAAAGGAGCAAUCCGCUUUGAGAUGGCCUCGCGUCCGAUUAGCUGGUUGGUGAGGUAACGGCCCACCAAGGCGACGAUCGGUAGCCGGACUGAGAGGUUGAACGGCCACAUUGGGACUGAGACACGGCCCAG
rnacentral:rRNA from 1 species